rnacentral:rRNA from 1 species
GGUUAAGCGACUAAGCGUACACGGUGGAUGCCCUGGCAGUCAGAGGCGAUGAAGGACGUGCUAAUCUGCGAAAAGCGUCGGUAAGGUGAUAUGAACCGUUAUAACCGGCGAUGUCCGAAUGGGGAAACCCAGUGCAAUUCGUUGCACUAUCGUUAACUGAAUACAUAGGUUAACGAGGCGAACCGGGGGAACUGAAACAUCUAAGUACCCCGAGGAAAAGAAAUCAACCGAGAUUCCCCCAGUAGCGGCGAGCGAACGGGGAGCAGCCCAGAGUCUGAAUCAGCUUGUGUGUUAGUGGAACGGUCUGGAAAGUCCGACGGUACAGGGUGAUAGUCCCGUACACCAAAAUGCACAGGCUGUGAACUCGAAGAGUAGGGCGGGACACGUGGUAUCCUGUCUGAAUAUGGGGGGACCAUCCUCCAAGGCUAAAUACUCCUGACUGACCGAUAGUGAACCAGUACCGUGAGGGAAAGGCGAAAAGAACCCCGGCGAGGGGAGUGAAAAAGAACCUGAAACCGUGUACGUACAAGCAGUGGGAGCACCUUUAUGGUGUGACUGCGUACCUUUUGUAUAAUGGGUCAGCGACUUAUAUUCUGUAGCAAGGUUAACCGUAUAGGGGAGCCGCAGGGAAACCGAGUCUUAACUGGGCGUUAAGUUGCAGGGUAUAGACCCGAAACCCGGUGAUCUAGCCAUGGGCAGGUUGAAGGUUGGGUAACACUAACUGGAGGACCGAACCGACUAAUGUUGAAAAAUUAGCGGAUGACUUGUGGCUGGGGGUGAAAGGCCAAUCAAACCGGGAGAUAGCUGGUUCUCCCCGAAAGCUAUUUAGGUAGCGCCUCGUGAACUCAUCUUCGGGGGUAGAGCACUGUUUCGGCUAGGGGGUCAUCCCGACUUACCAACCCGAUGCAAACUACGAAUACCGAAGAAUGUUAUCACGGGAGACACACGGCGGGUGCUAACGUCCGUCGUGAAGAGGGAAACAACCCAGACCGCCAGCUAAGGUCCCAAAGUCAUGGUUAAGUGGGAAACGAUGUGGGAAGGCACAGACAGCCAGGAUGUUGGCUUAGAAGCAGCCAUCAUUUAAAGAAAGCGUAAUAGCUCACUGGUCGAGUCGGCCUGCGCGGAAGAUGUAACGGGGCUAAACCAUGCACCGAAGCUGCGGCAGCGACACUAUGUGUUGUUGGGUAGGGGAGCGUUCUGUAAGCCUGCGAAGGUGGCCUGUGAGGGUUGCUGGAGGUAUCAGAAGUGCGAAUGCUGACAUAAGUAACGAUAAAGCGGGUGAAAAGCCCGCUCGCCGGAAGACCAAGGGUUCCUGUCCAACGUUAAUCGGGGCAGGGUGAGUCGACCCCUAAGGCGAGGCCGAAAGGCGUAGUCGAUGGGAAACAGGUUAAUAUUCCUGUACUUGGUGUUACUGCGAAGGGGGGACGGAGAAGGCUAUGUUAGCCGGGCGACGGUUGUCCCGGUUUAAGCAUGUAGGCUGGUUAUCCAGGCAAAUCCGGAUAAUCAAGGCUGAGGUGUGAUGACGAGGCACUACGGUGCUGAAGUAACAAAUGCCCUGCUUCCAGGAAAAGCCUCUAAGCAUCAGGUAACAUCAAAUCGUACCCCAAACCGACACAGGUGGUCAGGUAGAGAAUACCAAGGCGCUUGAGAGAACUCGGGUGAAGGAACUAGGCAAAAUGGUGCCGUAACUUCGGGAGAAGGCACGCUGGUGUGUAGGUGAAGUCCCUGCGGAUGGAGCUGAGACCAGUCGAAGAUACCAGCUGGCUGCAACUGUUUAUUAAAAACACAGCACUGUGCAAACACGAAAGUGGACGUAUACGGUGUGACGCCUGCCCGGUGCCGGAAGGUUAAUUGAUGGGGUUAUCCGUAAGGAGAAGCUCUUGAUCGAAGCCCCGGUAAACGGCGGCCGUAACUAUAACGGUCCUAAGGUAGCGAAAUUCCUUGUCGGGUAAGUUCCGACCUGCACGAAUGGCGUAAUGAUGGCCAGGCUGUCUCCACCCGAGACUCAGUGAAAUUGAACUCGCUGUGAAGAUGCAGUGUACCCGCGGCAAGACGGAAAGACCCCGUGAACCUUUACUAUAGCUUGACACUGAACAUUGAGCCUUGAUGUGUAGGAUAGGUGGGAGGCUUUGAAGCGUGGACGCCAGUCUGCGUGGAGCCAACCUUGAAAUACCACCCUUUAAUGUUUGAUGUUCUAACGUUGGCCCCUGACCGGGGUUGCGGACAGUGUCUGGUGGGUAGUUUGACUGGGGCGGUCUCCUCCCAAAGCGUAACGGAGGAGCACGAAGGUUAGCUAAUCCUGGUCGGACAUCAGGAGGUUAGUGCAAUGGCAUAAGCUAGCUUGACUGCGAGCGUGACGGCGCGAGCAGGUGCGAAAGCAGGUCAUAGUGAUCCGGUGGUUCUGAAUGGAAGGGCCAUCGCUCAACGGAUAAAAGGUACUCCGGGGAUAACAGGCUGAUACCGCCCAAGAGUUCAUAUCGACGGCGGUGUUUGGCACCUCGAUGUCGGCUCAUCACAUCCUGGGGCUGAAGUAGGUCCCAAGGGUAUGGCUGUUCGCCAUUUAAAGUGGUACGCGAGCUGGGUUUAGAACGUCGUGAGACAGUUCGGUCCCUAUCUGCCGUGGGCGCUGGAGAAUUGAGGGGGGCUGCUCCUAGUACGAGAGGACCGGAGUGGACGCAUCACUGGUGUUCGGGUUGUCAUGCCAAUGGCACUGCCCGGUAGCUAAAUGCGGAAGAGAUAAGUGCUGAAAGCAUCUAAGCACGAAACUUGCCCCGAGAUGAGUUCUCCCUGAGACUUUAAGUCUCCUGAAGGAACGUUGAAGACGACGACGUUGAUAGGCCGGGUGUGUAAGCGCAGCGAUGCGUUGAGCUAACCGGUACUAAUGAACCGUGAGGCUUAACCUU